rnacentral:rRNA from 1 species
AGCUCCAAUAGCGUAUAUUAAAGUUGUUGCGGUUAAACAGCUCGUAGUUGGAUUUCUGCUGAGGACGACCGGUCCGCCCUCUGGGUGAGUAUCUGGCUUGGCCUUGGCAUCUUCUUGGAGAACGUAGCUGCACUUGACUGUGUGGUGCGGUAUCCAGGACUUUUACUUUGAGGAAAUUAGAGUGUUUCAAGCAGGCGCACGCCUUGAAUACAUUAGCAUGGAAUAAUAAGAUAGGACCUUGGUUCUAUUUUGUUGGUUUCUAAAGCUGAGGUAAUGAUUAAUAGGGAUAGUUGGGGGCAUUCGUAUUUAACUGUCAAUGGUGGAAUUCUUUGAUUUGUUAAAGACGGACUACUGCGAAAGCAUUUGCCAAGGAUGUUUUCAUUG